rnacentral:misc_RNA from 1 species
AGAUUCUGACGUCUAUUAGUGCUCAAAUGUCAUCAACAUUCCAAUAUCUCAUGAAAUUAUGAAAGUUUUUAAUUUUGUAUCAUUUAUAAUCUGAUCAUAUAUAAUCAAGCCUAAAACCUUGCUUAUAACAUUUUGUAUUUGUGUAUUAUCUCCCCUUGCUGUCGUUGGUUGAAUGAUUUAAGGUUUAAAUGGUAGAUCUAUGCUAGCCAAGUGAUUUGGAUCUUCUCCACAUCCAUAAAACUUGGCUAAGAUAAUAGAGGUGGUACAUUUCAAGAUUUUUUAUGAUUUGAAUGAUUUUUUGACUCAGGAGUUAAUGCAAACCACAGUGUGCAUUUAAAAUGUCUCUGUCAUCCAUGGUACUAUUUUGUGUAAAAUUUUAGGAAACCUGCAUGUUAUUUUAUGUUAACUGUACAUAUUCUAUUUACACUGAAAGUUGCAUGUAAAUCUAGAGUAGUCAAUCUGCUGUGUCAAGUGAAAGUUUUGGGUUGGUCACAUAUCUAAGGCUUAAUGUGUAGUAUUUUUAAUACUAGUCACUUCUUAGUCACUCUUGCAUAUCAAAUUGAACAGAUACUAUGCUUUGAAUCAGAGAAAUGUUGUUCUUGUUACACAAGAGUUAGUUUAAAAUGAAGUUAUGAUAGAAUGGUGUAAUCUGAACAAAUGAUAUAUGUAUAUCACAAGUUAUGCUUUGUGAAAAAGUCUUGUUGCUUGUUUCCAUUUAAUCCAACAUGAGCUGUAUUUCAAAUAUGUGGUUUUGAGUACACUGUCAAACAGAAACUAGUAUAGUGCAUUUCAUGUCCCAUGCAACAUGGCUACUUCAUGCUGUAAAGAAAUGUGGCAUAUUUUUAUGUAUAGAAAAGUAGUAAUUCUUAGAAUUUUAAAUAAUUAGCAUUCUAUGACAUAUUAUAUGAGAGAUUUAUAAGUAGUUAAAAGUUAUUCAUGUAUAUAAUAGCAUACAUUUGUUAUCUUAAUAUAAUAUUGUAUGGUGAAAUAGAAUAAAAAUGUUAUAGCA